GGUUCACAGGCGGAGUCCGGCGGCUCUACGUCCAGGUCUUGAGGGAUUCUACCCCGUCCAAACCCCUUUUCUUCCUUUUUAAGCACUUGAAGUCGUGUCCGAUCGGAGGGAGACAGUACUAGAUCUGAUUGCUUUUAGCUUUGAUCAACUUGCAGUUGGAACGAUGAUCAGCUUUGGUUUCUGGACAAGCAUGUCGGUUCACCACCGUAGCUGAGAUGGACAGCAGCUCACAGGCGCAGUCGGGGCCCUCAGUCAGCGGCAGCUCAUCACGACAGCGGGAGCGGCGACUCGCAGGUGAGGCCGUGGCGCUUGGCGGCUCACAGCAGCAGUUGGUCAAUGGCCGUCGGCGGUAGAUCACGUUAGAAGUGAAUGCAUCAGGCGGUUGGUAAGGCCGCGGGGACGACGGCUUCAAAUCCAAAGCAAGACGAGGCGGCACCGGCGACUUACGGCGACGGGGUGUUUCAAACAGGACAGCCUCGCGGCAGAGACAAGGCCGCGACAGGACAGCGGCGGCGCGGCGGUUCAACGAAGUGAAUCGCAGGAGGAAUCCGAGCUUGUGGCUUUCUUUUCCUUUGACUAUUUCUUUGACCCAGUUUGUACUAGUAGUCCGCUCACUGAUUGAUAGAACCCGGCGGAUCCACCUCGGAAACUUUCUGUUA